rnacentral:lncRNA from 10 species
UUGGCCUCCUCAUAGAGCAGUUGAACCAGAAGUUCCGAAGAGGUUCUCAGGUGAAGCGCCAAGUAUGUCACUGAAAGCCCAGUGGAGUUAAGUGUGCAAAGUCAGUCUGAACAUAUGCUGUAAUGGAUUUGACCUCGAAUAGCACUACAAAGAGAAAUUGCAGAUAACCAUCUGAACUGACUUCUGAAGCUUGUAGUUCUGGCUCCUGAGAUACAGAGAGAAAAGUGAGACCAAACAGGUGGGAGCAAACAACUCAGAGAGACCAGAAUGAAUACGAGUCUAACUUUAAAAGUAAAUAAAAUUAAAUAAAAAUGAUUUAUUCUAUAGCUCUUUGUCUUUUAUUGGUUCCCACACAAUGUCCACACAAUAAACAG